GUCCACGCCGUAAACGUUGGGCGCUAGGUGUGGGGAACCUUCCACGUUCUCCGUGCCGCAGCUAACGCAUUAAGCGCCCCGCCUGGGGAGUACGGCCGCAAGGCUAAAACUCAAAGGAAUUGACGGGGGCCCGCACAAGCGGCGGAGCAUGUGGCUUAAUUCGACGCAACGCGAAGAACCUUACCAAGGCUUGACAUACAGGGAAAUCCGGCAGAGAUGUCGGGUCCGCAAGGGCCCUGUACAGGUGGUGCAUGGUUGUCGU
rnacentral:rRNA from 1 species